rnacentral:rRNA from 1 species
CCAGCUCCAAUAGCGUAUACUAAAGUUGUUGCAGUUAAAAAGCUCGUAGUCGAAUUUUAGUUCUAAGCCGCUGCCUUGUUAUUUUACAUAACAAAGGAAUGGUGUGUUUAGAGACUUAUUGUGCCUAUGUAAAAACUAGCUUUUAAAUAAGUGUUUUUUGCGUUGUGCAUUUUUUUACUGUGAACAAAAUAGAGUGUUCAUGGCAGGCCAUCAAGGCUUAAAUACCUCAGCAUGGAAUAAUAGAGUAGGACUUCUGGUUCUAUUUUAUUGGUUAUUGGAGCCGAAGUAAUGAUUAAUAGGAAUAGUUGGGGGCACUCGUACUCCGUAGUCAGAGGUGAAAUUCUUGGAUUUACGGAAGACGAACAACUGCGAAAGCAUCUGCCAAGGAUGUUUUCA